UGAGGAAUAUUGGACAAUGGGCGCAAGCCUGAUCCAGCCAUGCCGCGUGCAGGAUGACGGUCCUAUGGAUUGUAAACUGCUUUUGUACAGGAAGAAACAGUUCUACGUGUAGAACCUUGACGGUACUGUAAGAAUAAGGAUCGGCUAACUCCGUGCCAGCAGCCGCGGUAAUACGGAGGAUCCAAGCGUUAUCCGGAAUCAUUGGGUUUAAAGGGUCCGUAGGCGGUUAGAUAAGUCAGUGGUGAAAGCCCAUCGCUCAACGGUGGAACGGCCAUUGAUACUGUCUGACUUGAAUUAUUAGGAAGUAACUAGAAUAUGUAGUGUAGCGGUGAAAUGCUUAGAGAUUACAUGGAAUACCAAUUGCGAAGGCAGGUUACUACUAAUGGAUUGACGCUGAUGGACGAAAGCGUGGGUAGCGAACAGGAUUAGAUACCCGCGUAGUCCCUGAGCGGGCUGGCAAGGCGCAU
rnacentral:rRNA from 1 species